AUUGAACGCUGGCGGCAGGCCUAACACAUGCAAGUCGAGCGGAGCGGCGGACGGGUGAGUAAUGCCUAGGAAUCUGCCUGGUCGUGGGGGAUAACGUCCGGAAACGGGCGCUAAUACCGCAUCCUAUCAGAUGAGCCUCGGUCGGUUUAGCUAGUUGGUGGGGUAAAGGCCUACCAAGGCGACGAUCCGUAACUGGUCUGAGAGGAUGAUCAGUCAAACUGGAACUGAGACACGGUCCAGACGCCUACGGGAGGAAGCAGUGGGGAAGAGUGGACAAUGGGAGAAAGCCUGAUCCAGCCAUGCAGCGUGUGUGAAGAAGGUCUUCGGAUUGUAAAGCACUUUAAGUUGGGAGGCGUUACCAACAGAAUAAGCACCGGCGAACUUCGUGCCAGCAGCCGCGGUAAUUC
rnacentral:rRNA from 1 species